GCUCCAGCUGAAUACCUCUACCCAGAAGUCUCCUGGUGCUGAUGAUGAUGGCUCUGAAAAUUUCGAAGUGUGCAGGUCAGUAGCCGUAGAGAAAGAUUUGACAUCACCCAAAUAGAGUCUUCUGGAUGGGAGCUCAAUAUGUGUUUGUGAACUUCCUUCAAAGCAUGACAUUCAUUUGUAUUGUUAGAGGUUAGAUGAGAGGUGAUUACAUUAAAAACAGAAGACAAUGAGAAAAAUCCAUAGGUACAAAAACAUAGAAUUGGAUUUCUUCUUUUCCUUUUAAUGUAUGACUUAUCCUGGAAUAAAAACAGGCAAAGCAAAUGAGUUUUGUACAUAUUUUACCUAAAAUCAUGAUGACAGAGGCAGGGGUAGUGAGGCUGUGUGGAGAUGUUCAGUUCAAAUACCUGACAAAGAUAGUCAAACUAGAGAUUCUUUAAGGUCAGCUUUCUGUAUCAGAAAAAUCUUCUAUGCUGUUGACUCCAAAUUGUUCUUCAAUUGCCUGACUCAGUAGGAUAACUCAAGACCCAAAAGACAUGGACAAAAGUCAUGGGCUUGUUGGCUGACUACCAGAUAAUCUAGGGAAGGAGAGCCUUACUCACUUUACCAAUAAUCACACACUGGUCAUUUUUAACUAUGUUGAAAUUUCUUAGCAAUAAGACCAUUUUUUCUGUUUGUUUGUUUACUCGUUUGUUUAAUUUCAAAUCAUAUGAUUUUUUUAAAGAUAACUUAAUGUUAAUGUGAGCUUUCUAUCAUUGUCAAUAUGAGUAAGACAAAUUUGAAAAUUUUUGUAUGGUACUAAAUCAUUCGAAUUCUGAGACCAAGUAAAUAUUCCCAUUGUA
rnacentral:lncRNA from 1 species